GUAUUUAAGCGCUCAGAGCUCGGCCUCCGGGUUCGGUGUCGCAGGCGCUCGCCCACGCGGUGCGCACCGGGGCGCCAGGUACAGCGUGGAAAGCCGGGCGAGCGUCUCAGCCCUCGCUAGCUGGACCUGGACCCCAGACCAGUGGGCAACGCUGCCAAAACCCGCAAAGUCGAGCGAGGGACAACGGAACACCGGAUUCAAGCGCGGCUCUACCUAAAAGUCCUGGAAGCUGGAGAAGGGGCGGCGAGCGCGCGUCAGUGCAAGCCUGGCUCUGCUCCCGACCGUCACUGCGACCGCGGGCGCAGGAAGGAUGUGAGUGGAGGCCGGGGCGAAGCCCGGUUCCCAGGCCUUCUGUGGCCCUCACUCAGAGCCCACGAUUCAGAGGGAAGGGUAACUCUCUGCCUUGCCACCCGUCCUGCGUUCCCGCCUCCACGGCUCCCAAGCUCACAAAACCGAGGACAGCUGACAUCCUGGAGAUGAGCGUAAAAGACAUCUGCAGCGCCUACACGGCCCGGUGACAGCUGGGGUCACUGCGUGGAGCAACAAAGGGGCAACUCAUUCCUUUCAUCCCAGGACUGACUUCUACAGAAAAUAGACCGGACCAGAAACCACCUGUCAAUACCAAUGACGGAGUCCAAGCUGAAGCCACACCAGGUCUCCCUGUCUGAGAAACUCUCGAGUAACUACUGUCAGCAGAGCCACUCUUUGAUAGCUCCCGCCAGGAACUGUGAGAUCAUAAAUGUUUUUCAUUUCCAGUGGCUUAGUUUUUGUUAUGUAGCAAUGAAGAUAAUUUCUAUAUAAUCUACUAAGAAAGUGUAAAGAGCAGAAGCUGUAAACACUAUUUUAAUCCCGGAAGGUUACAGGCCUAAGAUCACCUAGAGGCCAUGGGGUGUGAAAGAAGUCAGAGGGUUUGACUCUGGGAGCAGCUCCUUUGAGAUAACUAGAGAAUAAAGUUGAAGGGACCACUUAAUCGAUAGAGCAUUAGACUCUUAGGAUCAUGGGUUCGGUGGUGGGAGGAUGAGCACUUUCUGUGUAGUUACCGCAGCGAUAUAACACUUAGUUGGUGGUUCAGAUGUAUUUGUAGAAUCUAAAAUAAGUUCAAGAGCACCUAGCCCCCUCCCCUCUGAAGGGACUUUCAGAAACAUGGCAAUCAAAAUGACUGAGUCUACCGCUGCCAAAACAAAAUGAGCUGUUCUCAGAGAAAUAACCAUAACAAAAAUUAUAGUUCUCAGAAAAACUCCCCUACCCUGCCCCGUGCUGAAUUCUGAAAAAGACCACAAACCAUCCUGACCUUGCUAGAAUUCCCUGUGACAUUAAUAGCUGUGACGUUAAUAACUGACCCAUAAGUUCAAAAUGUACUGCUGCAAGGGCAGGCAGAGCGAGUCACUAGGCCAAAGGUUGUCACUAUGCAAACCAAUCAAUGCCUGAAAAGGUUACUUGCUACACCAAUGAGAAUAAGCCAGCUAGCCCUGUGACCCAAAUCUGCCCCUUACAAGGUAUAAAAAGUGUGUUCUUUCUUUGUUCUGGGUCUCUCCUCUGGUCUGCGUGCUGAGGAAGGUCCCCAACAUGUUGGAAUAGUAAAAAACCUCUUGGGGUUUGCAGCAAUGGCGAUCUCUGUGGUCUUUGUGAGUGAGAGUCUUUUGAAGAACUCCAACAUAAUUUUUGGGCUGCUGUUAGCAGAAGGCCUGAUGUAUGACCAUGGAGGUAGAAGGGUGACAAUUGGACACUUGGCCAGGAAGCUUCCCAUCUACCAUCUGUAGAAUAGGAAAAUGGACAUGCUGGUUUAAUUUAAAGGCAUUUCAAUCAGGUAUGGUAGAAUACAUACCUUUGAUCCCAACCCUUGGAAAGCAGAGGCAAGAAGAUCUCUGUGAGUUUGAGGCCAGCCUACAUAGCUCCAGAGCUUUAGCUGGGUGUGUUGGGAUACACCUUUAAUUCCAGCACUUAGGACGUGGAGGCAGGUGGGUCUCUGUAAGCCUAGUCUAUUGAGUCCCAUGACAUUCUGAGCUAUAUAGUGUGAAAACAAAACAAAACAAAAAGCAGCUGCUUCAGCUAUGGGUGGUGGCACACAUUUGGGUUUUGGUUUUUGUUCGUUUUGAGACAGGCUCUCACUAUGUAGCCCUGGCUGUUCUGGAAUUUACAAUGUAGACCAGGCUGGCUUUGAACUCUCAGAGGCCUUCCUGCCUCGACCUCCCAAGCUUGAUGGCACACAUUUGUAAUCCUAGUGGAGGCUAACGCAGGAGACUCUCAGUUCUGAAGCCAGCUUUAACUACAGAGUUAGACCUUGACUGGCAGGGAGAGGGGCUUUAAAAGAAAUAUUUUUAAAAAUGAAAAGAUAAAGAUAAACUACAGACUAGGAAGAAAACUGCAGACCACAUAUAUGAGGGCUUUAUCUCCUGGACCAUUGCACUACUAAACGGUAGUGAAAUCUUUAAGAGUGGGCCGGUGUUAUGUAACAGUUUCCUUCUCGAUUGAAACAUUCUGAUGUGCGUGGAAGCUCUUUAAAAGGAAGUAAAUAACUCAGAGCUUCAUGAAGUCCCUGAAACUGACCAGAGUCCCUAGAUCUUUCCCUGCCAGAGUACGCAAUCAAAGCUGAGAGUCCCUCUUAGACCAGGAGAGACAAGCUGCAAAUAAGACGCUAAGACAAGCUGAGCUGCAGAAAUGUCUCAGACCAGCCAAGCUUCAAAGACUCAGGAGAAGCAGAAACCAGCUGAGGCACCGGAAAGGACACUCUCCGAUCUGCUAGGCUGCCUGCGGGGUGUAGGAUGCUUCAGGUUCCUCUCCCUGUGGGCUGUCAUCUGUGCUGAGGCGGGCUUUGAUGAUAUAACUAGCUGUCUGAGCGCUGUAAGUAAUCCCAAUAAAGCUCACUGGUUUAUCAA
rnacentral:lncRNA from 1 species